rnacentral:rRNA from 1 species
GGGCGAAAACUUUGCAAUGCGGGAAACCGUGACAGGGGAACUCCGAGUGCCCGUAAAAUCGGGCUGUCCAUCAGUUUAAAUAACUGGUGAAGAAAGGGCCGGGCAAGACCGGUGCCAGCCGCCGCGGUAAUACCGGCGGCUCGAGUGGUGGCCACUAUUACUGGGCUUAAAGCGUUCGUAGCUGGUUUGUUAAGUCUCUGGGGAAAUCUUCCGGCUCAACCGGAAGGCGUCUCAGGGAUACUGGCAGACUAGGGACCGGGAGAGGUGAGGGGUACUCCAGGGGUAGGAGUGAAAUCCUGUAAUCCUUGGGGGACCACCUGUGGCGAAGGCGCCUCACCAGAACGGCUCCGACAGUGAGGGACGAAAGCUGGGGGAGCAAACCGGAUUAGAGACCCUGGUA